CGGUGCUGAUGGUUUUACUCAGGUGGUUAACUGACUCUUUUCAUAGCUUCAUUCUCUGUUUUUCCUGAUGGUAUCAUCCAUCAAAUCUCAUUUGCCCUUUCCCCUGUCUGAGUGAUUGUAUGUUUGUUUGUAUGUUUUACUAGUUUUUGUUNAGUGUAUGUUAUAUGUUGGUAUAUAGGCAACAUAUUAGUGCUCUAAGAAUCUUUUGUAGUUUUUGCAUCAACACCCAGUCGAAUUACGUAUGCAGAAUACCAUGCUCUAAAACAAUAGAGUCGUAAACUUUCCCGCCGAAAGUGCAAGUCACCAUUGGCUCUUUGACUCCCCGGAGGUGUGAUCUCUAUAGCAGAUAAAGCUCUCACAUCAGUGACCCGUCAGUCAGUCUGCGGCUCUGUUAGAUUCUGAGAAGAUGAGGAUGUGAGCUAGAACGCUUCUGCACCAGGCUUCGGCCUUGUCUUUACAUUCACCAACGAUCCUUGGAUGUCAGCUGACCUCUCUCUUAGCUCUUCAUCAUCUUCAUCUGGGAGAAAACUCUCCCGACGACCACAGAGUCAGAAUAACAUCUUUUUGGAGUUCAUCACUCUUCAAACCAGAAAGAAGGUGAUUGCGACUCCUACACCACUGAACCUCCAAACCAUCAAGACUUUCAUCCGAGACUGCAUCCAGAUGCUUGUUCCAGGCCAGGGCAAUGUCUCAGCGGUUCCAAAUACUAUGUGCUGUGUGACCGUGAUACUCUUCUUGAGGAUACUGAGGUUUCUAUUUCCUCACAGACCACCAAAUGAUAUAAUCCAAAAUAUAAAUCAGUUGAGAAAGCAAAGUCACUAGGUCCAGGACAAUGGGUCUCCAAAGUUUGUGCAACUGUCUGCAAACUAUACAUACCAACAACUAUAAAGGCCUGGGAUGGAUACUAUGAAAUUCAAGACUGUUCUAUCCAAGAUUGAUGUGGACAGAUUAUAGUUACACUUUGGGAAAUGCACAUCUCCCAGCUUGUACUAGGUAAAUCCUACACUUUCAAAAGCCUUGAAACUAGACAAAUCCAAAACAUUAAGAAGCUCACAACAACUCCCAGCACAACCAUAGAACUCAUUCAGCAAGAUGAAGUCUUUCCACCUGGUCAGGGCCCUCAAAUCAUUGAGGAGCCCCUACCCAACUGCAGGUAUAACAGUAAAACCAACAGGGGCCCAAAUAAGCAUUAAAAAACGGUGUCCAAAAUGCCAUAAACCUCAGAAAAACUUACGUGUGAAACAAGAAUUUCACUGAUGUCACACUUCCAAAAUUCUGUGCAAAACGUACAACUAUAUAAUAAAAUGCAAUGGCAUUACA
ensembl:lncRNA